rnacentral:rRNA from 1 species
GAACGAGAAAGUGGAGCAAUCCAUGAGUAAAGUGGCGACCGGGUGAGUAACACGUGACUAACCUGCCCUCGAGUGGGGAAUAACCCCGGGAAACCGGGGCUAAUACCGCAUAACAUCGCAAGAUCAAAGCCGAAAGGCGCUUGAGGAGGGGGUCGCGGCUGAUUAGCUAGUUGGUAGGGUAACGGCCUACCAAGGCCAAGAUCGGUAGCCGGCCUGAGAGGGCGCACGGCCACACUGGAACUGAAACACGGUCCAGACUCCUACGGGAGGCAGCAGUGGGGAAUUUUGCGCAAUGGGGGAAACCCUGACGCAGCAACGCCGCGUGGAGGAUGAAGUCCUUUGGGACGUAAACUCCUUUCGACCCGGACGAUACUGACGGUACGGGUGGAAGAAGCACCGGCUAACUCUGUG